rnacentral:ncRNA from 1 species
AAAAGACGAUGGCAAAACCGCACACUGACGAACAAAAACUUUAUACAAGAUUGAACGGGGACAGAUGAGGUUGACAAACACAGUAAAGGUCAAUACUGUACGAGUCUUACACAGUAAAUGAGAAAGUGACAUGAGUGGAAA